UACGGGGGGGGCAAGCGUUGUUCGGAAUUACUGGGCGUAACGGGCGCGUAGGCGGCUUUUCAAGUCGGGCGUGAAAUCUCCGGGCUUAACCCGGAAGGGUCGUUCGAUACUGUUGAGCUAGAGUGUGGAAGAGGCAACUAGAAUUCCGUGUGUAGCGGUGAAAUGCGUAGAUAUACGGAGGAACACCGGUGGCGAAGGCGGGUCUCUGGGCCGAUACUGACGCUGAGGAGCGAAAGCGUGGGGAGCGAACAGG
rnacentral:rRNA from 1 species